rnacentral:rRNA from 1 species
AUUGAACGCUGGCGGCAUGCUUUACACAUGCAAGUCGAACGGUAACAGGCCUUCGGGUGCUGACGAGUGGCGAACGGGUGAGUAAUGCAUCGGAACGUACCCAGAGGUGGGGGAUAACGCAGCGAAAGCUGUGCUAAUACCGCAUGUGAUCUGAGGAUGAAAGCGGGGGACCGAGCAGCAAUGUUUGGCCUCGCGCCUUUGGAGCGGCCGAUGUCGGAUUAGCUAGUUGGUGGGGUAAAGGCCUACCAAGGCGACGAUCCGUAGCUGGUCUGAGAGGACGACCAGCCACACUGGGACUGAGACACGGCCCAGACUCCUACGGGAGGCAGCAGUGGGGAAUGGUGGACAAUGGGCGCAAGCCUGAUCCAGCAAUGCCGCGUGCGGGAAGAAGGCCUUCGGGUUGUAAACCGCUUUUGGCAGGAACGAAACGGUGUCCGCUAAUACCGGGCGCUAAUGACGGUACCUGCAGAAGAAGCACCGGCUAACUACGUG